GUGUGUGUGCGCGCGCUACACACAAUAAGUGCAUAGCAAAGCCAAGGUUCAAAGCUUCCUCUCCCCGGCCCGUGGCCCAGUCAUCUAAAACGACCUGUUAUAAAUAGCCAAAUAGCAAGUAGAGAGUAAGGUUCAUGGAAGAAAGAAUGGCUCAGCUGAUAAAGUGUUUGCUGCAUAAGCAUGAGGACCUGAGUACGAUUCCAGCACCCACACAAAAAGCCAGGCUGAUGUGGAAUAAGCCUACUGUACACUGUGACUGUGUAUUACUCUCAUUGAGUAAUAAAAAGCUAACUGGCCUGUGCUGGGCAGGAAGAGAUUGGGUAGGAGUGCCAGACUAGGAGGAUGCUGGGAAGAGGAAGGGUGGAGUCUGGAGUCUCCAGCAGGCGCAGGGAGAAGGAAGAUGAGCAUGUGGUGCUGAGAAAAGUGUGUUCUACCUGUAUUAUGCCUGCACUUCAUGCCAGAGGAGGGCACCAGAUCUCAUUAUAGGUGACUGUGAGCCACCAUGUGGUUUCUGGGGAUUAGAACUCAGGACCUCUGGAAGAGCAGCCAAUGCUCUUAACCUUUGAGCCAUCUCUCCAGCCCAAGCAGCAACUUUUUAAAAGGCGACCACAGCUGCUAAAAUGAGUUCAUGCGUGCAAUGUCCCUGCUGUGUCCAGGAAACUCUGGUGCAUGCUCCCGUAGAUGGUCCCACAUCAUAUACACAUGAACAAGUUGGAGAGAUGACAUGACAUGUUCUGGGGAAUCCAGGAGGAGUUGAAGAGGGGGGCUAAGGGGUGGAUGUAAACAAAAUAUAAUGUCUAGAUUUAUGAAGUUUUCAAAGAGCGAAUAAAAAUUAUUUUUAAAAGAGUUCACACAUCAUAA
rnacentral:lncRNA from 1 species